CGAAAAGUUAAGGCUAUACCCUUACUUUUUUGUUGUUUUUUUGGUCACUUAUGAAAAAUGACAUAAGUUGCUAAAAAUGGGCGAAAAGUCAAGGCUAUAGCCUUACUUUUUUGUUGUUUUUUUGGUCAUUUAUGAAAAAUGGAAAAAGUCGCUAAAAAUGGACGAAAAGUUAAGGCUAUAACCUUACUUUUUUGCUGUUUUUGGCCCACUUAUGAAAAAUGGAAAAAGUCACUAAAAAUGGACGAAAAGUAAAGGGUAUAGCCUUAAUUUUUGCUGUUUUUUGGUCAUUUAUGAAAAAUGGAAAAAGUCGCUAAAAAUGGACGAAAAGUAAAGGGUAUAGCCUUACUUUUUUGCUCUUUUUUCGUCAUUUAUGAAAAAUGGAAAAAGUCGCUAAAAAUGGACGAAAAGUAAAGGGUAUAGCCUUACUUUUUUGCUGUUUUUUCGCACUUAUGAAAAAUGGAAAAAGUCGCUAAAAAUGGACGAAAAGUAAAGGGUAUAGCCUUACUUUUUUGCUGUUUUUUCGUCAUUUAUGAAAAAUGGGAAAAGUCGCCAAAAAUGGACGAAAAGUAAUCCUUUUUGUCUCUUUACGGAAAAUGAAAAAUGUCGUAAAAAUUGCUUUUUGCUGUUGUUUGUCCUUUUUAAUUGCUUUUUUGCUGUUUUUUGUCCCUUUACGAAAAAAAGUCGUUAAAAUCGACGAAAAGUUAAGGCAAUAACCUUACUUAUUUGCUGUUUUCUGCCCAGUUAUGAAAAAGUCGCCUUAUCUGUUUCAAGCAUUGUAGUUGUUCGUUUUAAACUUCGUUCUUCCGUUGAAGUGAUUUCUUCAAUUUCUUUCUUUUUUGUUUUGUUUUUCGUUUUAAAUCACUUUGUUCUUCUGUUGAAGUGAUUUCUUCAAUUUCAUUCUUUUUUUUUUUGUUUUGUGUUUUAAAUCACUUUGUUCUUGUGUUGAAGUGAUUUCUUCAAUUUCUUUCUUUUUUGUUUUGUUUUGCGUUUGAAAUCACUUUGUUCUUCUGGUGAAGUGAUUUCUUCAAUUUCUUUUUUUUUUAGUCGCCUUAUCUGUUUCAAGCAUUGUAGUUGUUCGUUUUAAAUACUUCGUUCUUCCGUUGAAGUGAUUUCUUCAAUUUCUUUCUUUUUUGUUUUGUUUUUCGUUUUAAAUCACUUUGUUCUUCUGUUGAAGUGAUUUCUUCAAUUUCAUUCUUUUUUUUUUUGUUUUGUGUUUUAAAUCACUUUGUUCUUGUGUUGAAGUGAUUUCUUCAAUUUCUUUCUUUUUUUUUUUGUUUUGCGUUUGAAAUCACUUUGUUCUUCUGGUGAAGUGAUUUCUUCAAUUUCUUUUUUUGGUCAUCCCAGUAAACAUCCAUACCACCCCCACGGAGGAAAUUGGAAGUUAAUCGCCCUACCCCCUCGGAUGUCCUAAUACAUUUACUAUUAUCAGAAACAAUUUUGUCUCCCCUCCCCCUCCGGACGGCAGAAAUUUCCUCCGUGGGGGGAGUGUGGAUCUUUUCUGGAACAACCCAUUUCUUUCUUUUUUUUUCAAAAGCUAGCGAUGAAAAAUCGUCAAUCAAAAUAGCCUUGCUUUUUUGUUGCUUUACGUCAAAAUGGACAAAAAGUAAACAUUGAGACACAUUUUCUCAUCAAAACAAUCACUUUCAAUUGAUAAAAACACGUUUUAAAACAUUUUGCAAAGCGGGCCAACCACAGGCAAGUGGCAAUCUGUGCUCAACAAAGGGAGAGCACAGGAAUUUUUUAAAUAAAAAAGGCCCGGAACUAUUAUUCCAAACUUUCUGAAAAUUGUCGAUAAGCAUUUAUUUCUCUCAUCAAAACAAUUACUUUCAACUGAUAAAAAAUGCUCACUGACAUAGGGCUUUGCAUUUAUUGGCUUAGAUUGGAUGAAUUCCCCAAGGGAUAACAUAUUAUUCAGAAUUUAAAAUUUUCAUGCCACAUUGCCUGGAAGGCGUUUUAUAAACUAACCUUAUUUAAAUGAUUCAAGACAGCGACUGUAGAUGAUUCUUUUUGGUAUAAAAUAAUUUAUCUUUCUUUUCCUGUCAUGUAAUCCGGUUCAACUUUGAGGACUGAUCACUGAUCCAAAUUCUCUUGGAACAAAAUACCUAAACAAUGAAAGAUAUUAAUCUAGUUAUUUGCACAUAUCAACUGACAACAUAUCUUAUCUAACUGAUACCAGACGAAGGAUGCAACAGAAAAAUUCAUAUUUUGUUUUUAAAAAUGGGAGUACCACAGGAAUUUUUUUAAAAAUUCAUAAAGAUCCCCCAACUCACAAAACUUUCUUUCUCUCAUCAAAACAAUCACCUUCGACUUAGAAAAACUUGUUUCAAAAACUUUGGGUCAAAUGCAAAGGGGGGAUCAUAGACAACCAAAGAAAAUUCACACUUUUGUGUUUAACCAUUAAGCGCCAG
rnacentral:lncRNA from 1 species